GGUGAGAAUCCCACAGGCCGUAAACCCAAGGUUUCCAGGGGAAGGUUCGUCCGCCCUGGGUUAGUCGGGACCUAAGCUGAGGCCGAAAGGCGUAGGUGAUGGACAACAGGUUGAUAUUCCUGUACUACCGAUAACCGUUUGAGGGAAGGGAUGACACAGUAGGAUAAGCUAAGCACACUGUUGGUUAUGUGUGCCCAAGCAUUGAGGCAGUCAAAGUAGGCAAAUCCGCUUUGAUAAUGCUGGGGUGUGAUGGGGAGCGAAAUUUAGUAGCGAAGUAGCUGAUUUCACACUGUCAAGAAAAGUCUCUAUCGAGG
rnacentral:rRNA from 1 species